rnacentral:tRNA from 1 species
GCCGAAGUGGCGGAACUGGCAGACGCGUACGGUUCAGGGCCGUAUGGGAAAUCCGUGUGGGUUCAAAUCCCACCUUCGGCA